UUUUAAAGCCAUCAGCUAGGCAACAAUUAGAAAGUCAUAUAAUACAACAAUCCUAAUAUAUAUUUUACCAGAUAUUUAUAUAUACUAUAAUGUGUAUUCCACUCCUAGAUAUAUAUAUGAACUCACAUAAGCCAUGAUGUUUGAUGGGAACAUACUUUACACUACACACUGAGAAAGAACUGAAAGCAACCUGUGUGUGCAUAAUUAAUUGCUGUUGUUGUUUAGCUGAUAAGUCAUGUCCGACUCUGCAAUCCCAUGGACUGCAGUCUGCCAGGCUCCUCUGUCCAUGGGAUUUCUCAGACAAGAAUACUGGAGUGGGCUGCCAUUUAUUCCUCUAGGAGUUCUUUGCAACCUAGGUAUUGAACCCCCAUCUUCUACACUGCGGGUGGAUUCUUUACUGCUGAGCCACCAAUGAGGCUCACAUUAUUAGGGGAAUGGGCAAUUGAAACAUGGUAGUGACGCUCUGUAGCAUACUCUUCAGCUAGCAGAAAGAACUAGUUGGUGUACAGCAACAUGGAUAGAAUUUAAUAAAAACAUGUAUAAAAUGAGAGUGAAUCAGUUUAUAGCAAGUAAUACCUUUAUCUAAAUCAAAAAGUAUGUACAUAUUAAAGAAAAUACAUGUCUUACAAAGAUACAGGCACAUUCAAGGCCAUAUUACAAAAACAUUGGCAGGGUACAGAUGAAAUGACAAAUAAAAAUAAAAGUAAAUAAAUAAAAGCCCCCAAACCUCCAGCUUUAUAUUGACAGAGGAUGAAAGUGUCACAUAAAAUCAGAGGCUAGAUUAGCUCAGUUUGUACCUUUACUAUUCAUAACUUCACAACUCUAUCCUUCUCAUGAUUUUCAAGUCUCCUAUUACCUCUACAACUACAUUUUUUUCCCUUGAAGAAAACUGUGAAGACAUAAGCAGGAUAGGAUUCACUGAUUUGGAUACAUUCAGUUCAGUGCAGUCGCUCGGUCAUGUCCGACUCCUUGUGACCCCAUGAAUCCCAGUGCGCCAGGCCUCCCUGUCCAUCACCAACUCCCGGAGUUCACUCAAACUCACAUCCAUCGAGUCAGUGAUGCCAUCCAGCCAUGUCAUCCUCUGUCAUCCCCUUCUCCUCCUGCCCCCAAUCCCUCCCAGCAUCAGAGUCCUUUCCAAUGAGUCAACUCUUCGCAUGGGGUGGCCAAAGUACUGGAGUUUCAGCUUUAGCAUCAUUCCUUCCAAAAAAAUCCCAGGGCUGAUCUCCUUCAGAAUGGACUGGUUUGAUCUCCUUGCAGUCCAAGGG
ensembl:lncRNA